rnacentral:rRNA from 1 species
CCGAUUCCUACGGGAGGCAGCAGUGGGGAAUAUUGGACAAUGGGCGCAAGCCUGAUCCAGCCAUGCCGCGUGUGUGAAGAAGGCCUUAGGGUUGUAAAGCACUUUCAGUGGGGAGAAAGGUCAUUCACCUAAUACGUGAGUGAAUUGAUGUUACCCACAGAAGAAGCACCGGCUAACUCCGUGCCAGCAGCCGCGGUAAUACAGAGGGGGCGAGCGUUAUUCGGAAUUAUUGGGCGUAAAGGGCGCGUAGGCGGCCGAGCAAGUCUUGGGUGAAAUCCCUCGGCUCAACCGAGGAACUGCCUUGGAAACUGCUCGGCUCGAGGCCGGGAGAGGAUGGUGGAAUUCCCAGUGUAGCGGUGAAAUGCGUAGAUAUUGGGAGGAACACCAGUGGCGAAGGCGGCCAUCUGGACCGGUCCUGACGCUGAGGCGCGAAAGCGUGGGGAGCAAACAGGAUUAAAUACCCUGGUAGUCCACGCCCUAAACGAUGGGUACUCGGUGUCGCGGGUAUCAACCCCUGCGGUGCCUUAACUAACGCGUUAAGUACCCCACCUGGGGAGUACGGUCCCAAGGUUGAAACUCAAAGGAAUUGGUGGGGUUCCCCACGAGCGGUGGAGCAUGUGGUUUAUUUCGAUGCAACCCCGAAGAACCUUACCUGGGUUUGAACGGUGGUGGACACCCAUGGAAACAUGGUCUCCUCUUCGGAUGUCGCCAUCAAGGUGCCGCAUGCCCGUGGUCAUCUUCUCUAGGUUAGAUUUUGGGUUAAGUCCCGCAAGGAAUUCAACCCCUAUUUUUAGUUCCCAGCGGGUCGAGCCGGGCACUCUAAGGAGACUGCCCCGGAAAUCGGGGAGGAAGGUGGGGAUGACGUCAAGUCCGCAUGGCCUUUAUGUCCAGGGCUACACACGUGCUACAAUGGGCGGCACAAAGGGUCGCAAAGCCGCGAGGCAGAGCUAAUCCCAAAAAACCGUCCUCAGUUCGGAUUGCAGUCUGCAACUCGACUGCAUGAAGCUGGAAUCGCUAGUAAUCCCGGAUCAGCACGCCGGGGUGAAUACGUUCCCGGGCCUUGUACACACCGCC